UUUGAAAUCUGGCUCCCUUGGGGGUCCGAGUUGUAAUUUGUAGAGGGUGCUUUGGUAUUAGCUGUGGUCUAAGACCCUUGGAACAGGGCGUCACAGAGGGUGAGAAUCCCGUAUGUGGCCAGCAGCUCUUGCCUUGUAAAGCCCCUUCGACGAGUCGAGUUGUUUGGGAAUGCAGCUCUAAAUGGGAGGUAAAUUUCUUCUAAAGCUAAAUACUGGCCAGAGACCGAUAGCGCACAAGUAGAGUGAUCGAAAGAUGAAAAGCACUUUGGAAAGAGAGUCAAAAAGCACGUGAAAUUGUUGAAAGGGAAGCGCUUGCAGCCAGACUUGCCCGUAGUUGUUCAUCUAGGCUCUUGCCUAGUGCACUCUUCUGCGGGCAGGCCAGCAUCAGUCCAGGCGGUCGGAUAAAGGCCUUGGGAAUGUGGCUCCUUUCGGGGAGUGUUAUAGCCCAGGGUGCCAUGCGGCCAGCCUGAACUGAGGUCCGCGCUUCUGCUAGGAUGCUGGCGUAAUGGCUGUAAGCGGCCCGUCUUGAAACACGGACCAAGGAGUCUAACAUCUAUGCGAGUGUUUGGGUGUCAAGCCCGAGCGCGCAAUGAAAGUGAACGGAGGUGGGAACCCCUCGGGGUGCACCAUCGACCGAUCCUGAUGUCUUCGGAUGGAUUUGAGUAAGAGCAUAGCUGUUGGGACCCGAAAGAUGGUGAACUAUGCCUGAAUAGGGUGAAGCCAGAGGAAACUCUGGUGGAGGCUCGCAGCGGUUCUGACGUGCAAAUCGAUCGUCAAAUUUGGGCAUAGGGGCGAAAGACUAAUCGAACUAUCUAGUAGCUGGUUCCUGCCGAAGUUUCCCUC
rnacentral:rRNA from 1 species